AGUGAACGCUGGCGGUAGGCCUAACACAUGCAAGUCGAACGGCAGCACAGUAAGAGCUUGCUCUUACGGGUGGCGAGUGGCGGACGGGUGAGGAAUACAUCGGAAUCUACUUUUUCGUGGGGGAUAACGUAGGGAAACUUACGCUAAUACCGCAUACGACCUACGGGUGAAAGCAGGGGAUCUUCGGACCUUGCGCGAUUGAAUGAGCCGAUGUCGGAUUAGCUAGUUGGCGGGGUAAAGGCCCACCAAGGCGACGAUCCGUAGCUGGUCUGAGAGGAUGAUCAGCCACACUGGAACUGGAACACGGACCAGACUCCUAAGGGAGGCAGCAGUGGGGAAUAGUAGACAAUGGGCGCAAGCCUGAUCCAGCCAUACCGCGUGGGUGAAGAAGGCCUUCGGGUUGUAAAGACCUUUUGUUGGGAAAGAAAAGCAGCAGGUUAAUACCACGCUGUUCUGACGGUACCCAAAGAAUAAGCACCGGCUAACUUCGUG
rnacentral:rRNA from 1 species